GAAGAAGUGUGGGUUCACUUACUGGUGUUCACUUUUUGGAGUCAUUACUUCAAGAGGAUGGGAGUGCUGAAUCUCUUUUUAGCUUAUCCUUGAAGUUUCCAGUGUCCUGAGAAGGUCGGAAGCAGCAUGUACUGGCAAGGAUGGGAAUGGUGUCUGGUCCUACAACUUCUGUUCCUGCUGGAGACUGGCAUUCAAGGUCAACCAGAACACAAGGUGACUGCCCUUGCUGGCAGCAACGUGCGUCUGCUUAUGCCCCAUUCGGGUAAAUACAGAGAAGUCAGCUGGUUUUUCAACACCAGCAAGAAGAUUGUGUUAUGGGAUUCUGGAGAACUUACAUACUUCGAUAAUGAAAUGAAGAGCAGGAUCCAUCUUGAUCAGUCUCGUACAUUGCACAUCUCUCGUGUCCAGAAGAGUGACAGCAGCACCUACAUCUGCGAGGUGGUGAGCAACGAGGGAAAGAUAGAGCAAAAGACCAUUCAGCUGCAGGUGUUUGGUCCUGUGCCCCAGCCAGUUCUAAAACAAGAGAUGAUAAAAAAGGUGAACAGCAAUUGUUUUCUAAACCUCUCAUGUGUGGUGCGUGACCCAUCCGUGAGUUACAGCUGGUAUGGGGAGUCAGGGCUCCUUCCUGAAUUCCAGCACGGUAUGCUUGAGCUCAUCGUCAACCAACAGAACUACUCUGACUUUUACACCUGCAAUGUCAGCAAUCCUUUUGAAUGGAAGAAAGCCACAAUCAAUGUCUCCUCAUUGUGUGUGCCGGGUGCGUCCUCUGUGAGAGCCUGGCCUGUCCAUUGGCUGGUGGUCAUGCUGCCCACAGUUCUUGGCCUCCUGUUGAUGUAAGAGGAGCGUUUCCCACUCCCGUGCGGCUUCUGCGUGCAAGAAUCUUGCCUUGGUCUGCAGCAGGCUGAGAACUCUGUGGGUGCAGUCAGAAGCGCGGGAGGGUGAGAGAACUCACCAGAGCCAGAGCGGGAAGCAGAGCAGGCAAAAAGACCGACGUACACUGCUGAGGGGAGCAGCGGGCAGCAGGAGA